CAUCGAUGAAGAACGCAGCGAAAUGCGAUAAGUAGUGUGAAUUGCAGAAUUCAGUGAAUCAUCGAAUCUUUGAACGCACAUUGCGCCCUCUGGUAUUCCGGAGGGCAUGCCUGUCCGAGCGUCGUCAAACCCCCUCGAGCAGCCUUUGCUGCUUGGUCUUGGCCGGUGAUCGCGUCCCCUCGGGGAGGUGUUCACGGCUGAAAGGGAUCUGGCGGAGAGCCUGGUCUCCACGGUUGUAGUAAGCUUAUGCCUAUCUUCCGCGUGAGUGACCAGUUAUCCAGCCGUCAACCUCACUUCUUCUGGUUGACCUCGGAUCAGGUAGGGAUACCCGCUGAACUUAAGCAUAUCAAUAAGCGGAGGAAAAGAAACCAACAGGGAUUGCCUUAGUAACUGCGAGUGAAGCGGCAAGAGCUCAGAUUUGAAACCUGCCGCCUUUGGCGGUCGGAUUGUAAUCUGGAGAGACCACUUCUGGUGGGCAGCCGGUCCAAGUUCUUUGGAACAAGGCAUCAGAGAGGGUGAGAAUCCCGUAUCUGGCCGGUUCGUCCCGCCUUGUGAAGGGUCUUCGACGAGUCGAGUUGUUUGGGAAUGCAGCUCAAAAUGGGUGGUAAAUUUCAUCUAAAGCUAAAUACUGGCGAGAGACCGAUAGCGCACAAGUAGAGUGAUCGAAAGAUGAAAAGCACUUUGAAAAGAGAGUCAAAAAGUACGUGAAAUUGUUGAAAGGGAAGCGCUUGAGACCAGACUCGGGCCGGGGUGAUCAGCGGUGCUUUUGUACCGUGCACUUGCCUCGUCCCGGGCCAGCAUCGGUUGUGACGGCGGGAUAAAGAUUCGAGGAAUGUGGCUCCCCUCGGGGAGUGUUAUAGCCUCGGGUGCAAU
rnacentral:misc_RNA from 1 species